rnacentral:rRNA from 1 species
GAUGAACGCUGGCGGCGUGCCUAAUACAUGCAAGUCGAGCGAACAGAUGAGGAGCUUGCUCCUCUGACGUUAGCGGCGGACGGGUGAGUAACACGUGGAUAACCUACCUAUAAGACUGGGAUAACUGCGGGAAACCGGAUCUAAUACCGGAUAAUAUAUUUAACCGCAUGGUUCAAUAGUGAAAGACGGUUUUGCUGUCACUUAUAGAUGGUUCCGCGCCGCAUUAGCUAGUUGGUAAGGUAACGGCUUACCAAGGCAACGAUGCGUAGCCGACCUGAGAGGGUGAUCGGCCACCCUGGAACUGAGACACGGUCCAGACUCCUACGGGAGGCAGCAGUAGGGAAUCUUCCGCAAUGGGCGAAAGCCUGACGGAGCAACGCCACGUGAGUGAUGAAGGUCUUCGGAUCGUAAAACUCUGUUAUUAGGGAAGAACAAAUGUGUAAGUAACUAUGCACGUCUUGACGGUACCUAAUCAGAAAGCCACGGCUAACUACGUG